rnacentral:lncRNA from 1 species
UGAAGUUCUUCACUCUGUUCUUCUCGACAUCUCGACGCGGGUAAACUAACCCACACUGGUUCUCCCCGAGUUGAACUGGUUUGAACUCGAACUAAACUUCAUUUUCAUCCCCGCGUCAUCUUCCCGCGCUGGAUUUCCGAUGAUUCUUCUAGCUUAUGCGAGCGGGUACUCGACCCCGCGUUGCUCCAAGCCGCGUUGAAGUUCUUCCCUCUGUUCUUCUCGACAUCUCCACGCGGGUAAACUAACCCGCACUGGUUCUCCCCGAGUUGAACUGGUUUGAACUCGAACUAAACUUCAUUUUCAUAUUUUCUUUAACUCCCAUGCCUCUAAACACCUCCAAUCACUCCAUAGGUCACUCUAAUACCUGAUUAAGACAUAUGAAUGCAAAAUGGAUCCUAAAGAUGCUAAACUCUUACUCUAUAUGAUCAUUAUGUACAAAAUGGAAUCUUAAAACAAUGCAAAUAUGCAAGAUAUCAAUUCCGACAAAACACAAUUCUCAUGAUCAGUAACCCUUAA